UACAGAGGUCUCAAGCGUUUGUUCGGAUUCAUUGGGCGUAAAGGGUGCGUAGGUGGCGCCGUAAGUCAGGUGUGAAAUUUCGGAGCUUAACUCCGAAACUGCAUUUGAUACUGCGGUGCUUGAGGACUGGAGAGGAGACUGGAAUUUAACGGUGUAGCAGUGAAAUGCGUAGAGAUCGAUAAGGAAGACCAGGUGGCGAAGGCGGGUCUC
rnacentral:rRNA from 1 species